GCGGGGCGGGGCGCUCGCCAUUUCCCGCCUCCCCUCAGCCCGCCCGUGAGGCGCCAACACCGCCCUCGCCUCAGGGCGAUGGAGCUACGGGGAGAUGAAGCGGUCAGAAGGAGCUGCGUGUUGGGAGUCAGAACAGUGGGGAGAUGGAGCGGGGAGUUGGAGCUGGGAGUUGGGAGACGGAACAACAGGGGGAUGGGGGACGGAGCAGGGAGAUGGCGCCCUCGAAGCCACCUCAGCCCCCAGGCGCUCCGGCUCCUCGCCUCAGGGAGGUGAUGGAGGACGGAGAUGGCACCUGCCAAGCCGCCUCAGCCCCAGAGGCUCCGGCUUCUCGCCUCAGGGGUGAGGAAAAGGGAGCUGGAGAAGGGAGAUGGGAGAUUGGAAACGGAGCAGCAGGGAGAGGGAGCAGGCAGAGAGGACAUGCAAGGCCGCCUCAGCCUCAAGUGCUCCAGCUCUCCAGCUUUUUUAAUCUGGGCUUUGCAAGUUAGAAACUUUUUCUUUCCUUUUUUUUUUUUUUUUUUUUUAAAGUUAUUUGGUGCUUAGCAAAGUAGGUGAUCAGACUGUUUCCUGACUGAGGUAAAAAAAAAAAAAGCUCAGCUCACAAGGGUUUUGGGUGUAGCAAAUCCCUUCAGGAGGUGCAGUGAAGUCACAGAGUUGACAUAGUGCCACUCCUCAGGCCAUUUCGAUUUUACCUCAGGAUCUUCCUGGCAGAGGACAGGGAUCACGAUUUACACACAGAAACACAGGUACCCCAAAACAGCACGGGGAAUGGCCACCUCAGGUGGGUUAGCCAGUGCUCCAGGAGACAGACAGCUGACCCAGGGGUGGAUCAGCCAUCACCUUGGCAAUAAAGGAUACAGUGAGGUGGGGUUUAAUUCCCCAAGAUCCCAGGGAAACAAGCCGCCAUCUUGAGCACAAGCCGCCAUUUUGUGUCAGCUUUGCUUUGUUAUCAGGGCCCGUUCCCCCGUGUGGAGCUCACUGUGGGCCACCACAGCAUAGUGACAAGUCCUUUUGAGGAAAAAAAAAAAAGGGGGGGAGGUUUAAAACUUAAACUUCUAAGUCAUUUUUUUAAAAAAAAGUUUUUAAAAAAGUUCCAGAAUAAUCAAAAUCCAGAACGUCUUCAGCAACCCCAUAAUUUGCAGGCAACAAGACCACAUGACAUCCCUUUGACUCCUACAACACACACCUGCAGAGGUAGUUAAGGUUUUUAAAUAAAAGUUUUCUUGUACUAGCAAAAGAAACUGCAGAUUUACAGCUUCAGCUUCAUCCAGAUGGAAGAAUACCUGAAGCCUGAGCCAUCCUUGAUAACGUGCAGCUCCUCCACAGCUCACACAGUGUAACAUUCUGUCAUAUAAAAGGGUUUAAGGAAAGCCUAAUUAUUACAGAAGCAAUUUCCCUUCAAGGUGAUACAGCCACCAUUACUGCUAUUUUCAAGAAUCCUUACAAGAGAAAGUGACUCUUGAAAAUCCAGGCUUGGAGCUGCUGUUCUAAUGGUUGGCUGAACCAAGACAGAAUCCUCAUUGCUUGUUGUUCAGCAUUUUCAUCAUAAAUUCCUGUGCCUUGAGUGGUUACUGAAGAUGAAAAUGUGGAUUCAGAGCUGCACAGUUGUUCUGUGCGUGUCUUAGAAGAUUUCCUUAGCUUGAAAAGAGCUGUGGAAGGAAAAACCCUUCAGCCUGUUGGCCUGACAUUGGAGACACAAAUUUGAAUAUCACAUCAGACAAGUUCACUUCUUACUGGUCUGUCACCCCUGGCAAGUUCUUUGUCUUCUAAAAUGUAGGUGUUUUGGGAUGUGGAAAAUUACCUUGUCUGUACUUUUCAUGGCCAUGUGGUAUUAAAAGACAGCAAAAGUAGACAACUAACAAGGGAACAUCUUUACAAGAGGGCAAAGAAGCAUUUAGACCUGUGGGAGAUGACUCUUUCCCCCUCUCUCUUUUUUCCCUGCACACACACACACACACAGCCCAGGCCGUGAGUGAUCAAUGCUCUGCCGGGCCGGGCUCCUGCUGCACUCACCGGCUUCUAACAAAGCAGCUGCUUCCGUGGGCUCCUGGAGCAGCUCCUCAGGACAGGGCAACAUCCUCCCAAACCCAGGCUUUGUUUGCAUCCCGACUGCAACAGCACACGAGGGGGAAAUGGGAAUUCAGAGCUGCCAGCUACACUAUCUCCGCUAUCAGCUCACCAAUAAGGCCCAGUACAGACCCGCAGAGCCUCUGGAUAAAUUGUAUUUUCCAAGGGUUAAUUAAGCUGUCUUGAGCUUCUGCAUGAAGGGGAACAAACUGGCACUUGCAGCGUUUUCUGAAACCUGCUGUCGACAUUGCAGUCCCUGCUGCUUUUAGCUGUAUCGAUCCGCUGCCUGACCUGUGAAAUCCUUGAUGGCUGCUAACACUGGAAGCUUACUGGAGCUUUCCAAGGGAGCUUCAGGACAGCUUGUGUAGUCAAGUACAAUUACCUGUCCCUCCAGGAGAGCCAAUUAGUUCACAAAGAGCUGGAGCAGAACAAAUGUUUUGUGUGUGAUUUAGAAUCUUUAAAAAAAAAAAAAAAAAAAGGGGCUUUGUUCUGUCUCAUUCUUUUGUUUCUAAUUUUAUGAUUAUUGCUCCGCUCGUGACAAUCCACACCGCGUUUCCUUACGUGUCUCAUCAAGGACUACUUGGGCAUGAGAAAACAGAUUUACAGUUAUUAUUUUUCCGACAGAAAAAAGCCUCGUGUGCGAUGCAAAAAGCCAGCCUUAGCCAUUUUAAAUACCAUGGACCUAAAAGUAGAAUGCUCACAUACUGGAUAUUUUUAGAGCCGUAGAUUAAUGUGUUUAAAACACGCAGCAUAUGCAGAUAUUUGUGCUGUAGUUUUUAUAGCACAUAUAUACAUAUAUGUAUAUAUAGUUAUACACAGAUCUCACUUGAAAUUCUGGGGCUUGAUUUGCUGGGAGUGAAAAGGCAGCAACUGUUGUACCAAAACCAGACCAUAAAAAGAGUGGAAAUUAAAGAGAUCACCGUCUAUAACAUAACCCAGUUAACGCAAUAUUUAUAACUUUUAAAAAUAAAAAUUAAAGACGGUGAGCCAAAAUUUCAUCUCUGUCACUCUGAAGAAUGGUACUGUUUGGCUCAGGUUCUCUGGGGCUAAAAGAGCAGCACUGGCUUGGGAACAAACCUCUUCAAUUAAUCUGAACUAAUAAUUCAAAUAAGUAAGGACCCAAUAAUUUAAGUGGUCAGUUACAGUGGACCGAUUCCAAACUCCGCAAUGUUCUACAUAUAAAUCAGAAUACAGCAAAGGUGGUUGCCGUAGGAAAAUGUGGAAUGUCAUCAGAGGUGUCCUGAGGUCAGUGU